GGCGGUAGGGGAGCCAUGCUAUCGGCAGUGAUUAUGGGUUUGGUCGGACUUGUGGUGGUGAUCGGGAUUGCCAUCCUGAUAAGCCAUUUCAACGCCCGCGCGUGAACAGUCGCCAUCAGAAAGUUAAGANNNNNNNNNNNCGGACAACACGAAGCGCAGAUAUGAUGGCGUUUAGCGCGACGCCAAACGCGGCGGCCGGGGAAUCUAUGACUUUACCGCGGCUAGAUCCGCGCAAACGGAAAGCCCUCCGACUGUUCGG
rnacentral:misc_RNA from 1 species